rnacentral:lncRNA from 1 species
UGAACUAAAAGCACAUUCAAACAUACAUGAAUAUAACAACAAGCAUAUAAUCCCUCACCUUAAAGUCGUAGGCAAUUAAAUAAAAUCCGGAAUGAGGGUCUUAAUAGCACCGCACCUAAUCACAUAAAAUAUAAUUACUUCAAAAUGGACCUAACUAAAACCUUAAUCUAAAAUAUUAUAUCCAAAUAUAUAUAUAAUCGUAUAUAUACUUAAAAAGAAAACACGAAGUCUGCUAUGUAGUAAACUAAAAGAAUUAUAACUUGUUAACAAUUACAACUUUUAAUCAUUUAAAAAAAACGAUAAUAAAAAUUAUAAAAUAAAGAAAAAUAAAAACAAAGGAAACACUUCCCCAUCCUGACUCUACAACCAGACGCCAUAUAUACUCCAC